AUCCUUGUGCUCGGGCACGCGCCGUAGACAGUGAGGUUUAUAACCGAGUCAUGGCCAUUUGCUAGUUGCAAACUACAAUCCGCAAUCUGCAAGAUCUUAUGAUCUUCGCGAAUCUUUCGACCCUGGGUCAUCAC
rfam:Leucosporidium creatinivorum strain 62-1032 BCR35scaffold_17, whole genome shotgun sequence.